rnacentral:rRNA from 1 species
UACAGAGGUCUCAAGCGUUGUUCGGAUUCAUUGGGCGUAAAGGGUGCGUAGGCGGCGCGGUAAGUCGGGUGUGAAAUCUCGGAGCUUAACUCCGAAACUGCAUUCGAUACUGCCGUGCUUGAGGACAGGAGAGGAGACUGGAAUUUACGGUGUAGCGGUGAAAUGCGUAGAUAUCGUAAGGAAGACCAGUGGCGAAGGCGGGUCUCUGGACAGUUCCUGACGCUGAGGCACGAAGGUCAGGGGAGCAAACGGG